rnacentral:lncRNA from 1 species
UAUAAUUUUGGAUCUAAGACUCCAAAUUUUUAAAGAUCUCCAAUUUUUAAAGAUCACCUUGGAAAUAGAAAAAUGAAUAGUUGUAGUUCUGUUCUUCAGGGUGAUUUUGUAGGUCAGAUAUAGGGUUCAGCAGUCUACAUUGUCAACCUAUGGCAUGUCAUAAAUGGCCCUAGCUCACUCGUGGGAGCAUCAAAAUCUCAGGAUUUCCUCGAUUGCUUGUCCCAGGUGGCACUCUGGGUUUCAGGGUCACAGGUUUGUAUUAUGAAUCUAAAUGGUUUCUUCAGCUGUGUCUAGCCUGACAUCUUUGCUCUUGGGGCCUCAGAGAUGAUUUAUCUUGUACAGGAUCUUCCUGCCAUGCCCUCCCCACCUCCUUACCAAAGGCCUUUGCCACAUCUCCAGGGCAGCUGCAGCCUCCGUCCUACAAAGUAAGAACUGCUGUGAGAGACAGCAUCGAUUCUUAAGACUUCUCAACUGCCCAUGUCAAAGUGGACUACAACUCAUGUCCUGACCAGGACUUGACCACAGCCCCACAUGGAGAAACUCAUGUCCUGACCAGGACUUGACCACAGCCCCACACGGAGAAACUCAUGUCCUGACCAGGACUUGACCAGAGCCCCACACGGAGAAACUCAUGUCCUGACCAGGACUUGACCAGAGCCCCACACGGAGAAACUCAUGUCCUGACCAGGACUUGACCAGAGCCCCACACGGAGAAAACAGUGGCUGCCGGGCAGCUGCAAACCUCUCCAGGUCUUUGGUCUUACUGAAAUGAUGUGGCCUUUGAGGCCAUGAGCAGCAUCUGCACACUCCAUCACUGCACUGAGCUGUGGAUACCCAACUCCAGUUUUCUUCCGAGUUGUACAGACAGAGCCUGGGGAGAGAUAGAAGUGAGAAUGAACGGACCUGUGGUUUUUGCCUCCCAACAGGAUAGAUGAGAUGGUAGUUCAAGGAACCAACUUACCAGGACCAAUUCCCACUUUGAUGAUGUCAGCCCCAGAGAGGAUUAGCUCUUCUACCAUCUCUCCUGUUACCACAUUGCCUGCCUGAGACAAUAAUCAAAACAGCAUUCUUAGGGUCAGUGGUAGAGAGUAGCUUUUGUGCUCUCACAUAAUCCACACUUUGACCGUGACCUUCCUAUUACAAAGAAAGGGUACCUAAAGCCCUUCUACAGGCCCUACCACCAACUUCAAGGACCUAGAUCACAGUUACCCAUCUACCUCACAUACAUACUUUGACUUAGUGCAGAGGAUAGGGGAAAACCAGGUCCAGAAUGACCUUUAAAGCAGCAAGGUGGGGCAACAAGACAAAGGGGCCUGAAAGAGCAAUUGGUGAGUCAAACACCACUCAGGUCGACAGCAGUGCCUCUCACUACCAGGUGACUACUGCCUGGUCCUGAAGCUUUCUACCUUGAAAAAAAUGGACAGAAACCGGAAUGUGGGCUAAAAUACCCAUUUGCCAACAGUAUAUGGGCAGUAUGACAUCCUCCUUCAAUGCUGUGCAGAAAAUGAAGCCUUGGAUUUCGUCUCUAAUAAGCUUCUAAAAAAUAAAACCUAGUUUUUAUAUGAU